UUGUUUUAUAUCUUACAUUUAUAUUGCCUGGCUUUGUUCUUUUAAUUAACUUUUUAUCAGAGAGACUGUAUAUAUUUUUUUCUAAAUACUUUGUGAAAUAGUUUUCUGUAGCAGUAUCUCUGAAUUUGAUGAAUAAAAAGUGACUGUGAGUGCAAAUUAGAAUUAGUAGUAAGAAGCUACUAUACCUGAUUUGCCAUUUUACUUAAAUAGAAAAUGUUUUUCAAAUAAAUACUUAUGUUGUUUGUGAUCCAAAUUGUUCAAUUCCUUUAUGAGUGAAUGUUUUUAUUUCUGACUCUUAAAUAGGAAAAGAUUAUUUGACAACUGGAAAAUAACCUGGCAGCAAUUAAGCUAGUGACAUGGGGCUACUUUGCCAAAACACUAAAAAUGAAUAUUUUAGAAAGAUUCGGUUCACUGGGGAUUAAUGCAUUUUGAAGUUCUUAGAUUUUCUUAAGAUGACUGAUGCAAAGCCAAGCUCUGUGGCAAAUUAAAAGUAAUGUAGGUUUCCUUUUUGGGAAGUCUUCAGCAUCUUGAAAGGGAAACAAAUCAAUAAUACUACAUAGAAGUUAGGUCAUGGGAUAUUUUUUUUCACAUUUAUAGGAGGCUUAGAAAAUGACAGAAUUUAGCCAACUUGACUUGCAUGAGUAGAACAGAGCCUCCUCCCUUCCUUUUGCUGUGAUUAGUUAGGAUAACUCUCUUCUGCAGAGAGCCAAGGCCCACUCUGGCUCACGGCCCUACCCAGUGCUAAGCUGUGAGGCUUGUUGGCUGGUCACUGCUCACUCAGGUCUUCUGAGCCAACAUUCACAACUCCUGGCCAAGCCGUGUUAGGAAAACAGGCAAACGUUUGCUGAAGCUUCAUUUGCAGUUACAUACAGCAGGUUAAAGCUGAGGGAGGAGCAGUGAGAAGGAGCUGUGUUACAACGUUGUGCACGGUCCACAGAGGGAAAGAAGAAAACAGAUCAGCAGGAAAUACAAAGACAGCAAGCAAAACAGAUUCGACAGUUGCCAAGAAUGUGCCUCAGAUGGGCAAUUCAGGGUCUCUUGCUGGGUAAGUGAGAAAGACAAAACCAAUAG
rnacentral:lncRNA from 1 species